GAGAGUCUGAAGGGUAGAAAAUACAGGAUCUACGUGUGGUUGAGAAAGAGAAUGGCAAGGUGGUGAGAAUUCUUUCCAUAGCUUUUCAAUCUUGUCGUUAAAGUAGCAUGCAAAGCUAUCAGCAGUAAGGUUAGUUUGGGGGGUGGCCACAGCAGGGCAAAGAAGAGAAUUAAAGGUGUCAAAGAGACACCUGGGAUUGCGGGAGCAUGAACUAAUGAGAGAGGAAAAGUAUGACUGUUUGGCGAGGACAAAGGCUGCGCUGUAUGAACAUAAUAUAAUGGAGAAAGUCUGACUGGGUGCGAGACUUCCUCCAGGAGAGUUCAGCACAACGGGAGCAUCUAUGCAG